GAUGAACGCUGGCGGCGUGCCUAAUACAUGCAAGUCGAGCGAACAGACGAGGAGCUUGCUCCUCUGACGUUAGCGGCGGACGGGUGAGUAACACGUGGAUAACCUACCUAUAAGACUGGUAUAACUUCGGGAAACCGGAGCUAAUACCGGAUAAUAUAUUGAACCGCAUGGUUCAAUAGUGAAAGACGGUUUUGCUGUCACUUAUAGAUGGAUCCGCGCCGCAUUAGCUAGUUGGUAAGGUAACGGCUUACCAAGGCAACGAUGCGUAUCCGACCUGAGAGGGUGAUCGGACACACUGGAAGUGAGAAACGGUCAAGAGUACUACGGGAGGCAGCAGUAGGGAAUCUUCCGCAAUGGGCGAAAGCAUGACGGAGCAACGCCGCGUGAGUGAUGAAGGUCUUCGGAUCGUAAAACUCUGUUAUUAGGGAAGAACAAAUGUGUAAGUAACUAUGCACGUCUUGACGGUACCUAAUCAGAAAGCCACGGCUAACUACGUG
rnacentral:rRNA from 1 species